GGCCUCUCCCGGUGCUUAACACAGGCUAUAUUCUUACAUUGUGUGUACAGAAAGAGGAAGCAGAGUACACCCAACCAUAUACACCUCAGCUCAGGCCUUAUGACAGGCCUGUGUUGUAAAUGUGGGACAUGG